CCUACGGGGGGCUGCAGUGGGGAAUUUUGGACAAUGGGGGAAACCCUGAUCCAGCCAUUCCGCGUGAGUGAAGAAGGCCUUCGGGUUGUAAAGCUCUUUCGGCAGGAACGAAACGGCGGACUCUAACAUAGUCUGUCAAUGACGGUACCUGAAGAAGAAGCACCGGCUAACUACGUGCCAGCAGCCGCGGUAAUACGUAGGGUGCGAGCGUUAAUCGGAAUUACUGGGCGUAAAGCGUGCGCAGGCGGCUUUGUAAGACGGAUGGAAAAUCCAUGGGCUUAACCAAGGAACUGCGUUCGUGACUGGAAAGCAAGAGUGCGGCAAAGGGGGGUGAAAUUCCUGGGGUAGCAGUAAAAGGCGUAGAGAUCAGGAGGAACACCGAUGGCGAGGGAGGCCCCCUGGGU
rnacentral:rRNA from 1 species